rnacentral:rRNA from 1 species
CUACGUGCCAGCAGCCGCGGUAAUACGGAGGGUGCGAGCGUUAAUCKGAAUAACUGGGCGUAAAGGGCACGCAGGCGGUGACUUAAGUGAGGUGUGAAAGCCCCGGGCUUAACCUGGGAAUUGCAUUUCAUACUGGGUCGCUAGAGUACUUUAGGGAGGGGUAGAAUUCCACGUGUAGCGGUGAAAUGCGUAGAGAUGUGGAGGAAUACCGAAGGCGAAGGCAGCCCCUUGGGAAUGUACUGACGCUCAUGUGCGAAAGCGUGGGGAGCAAACAGGAUUAGAUACCCUGGUAGUCCACGCUGUAAACGAUGUCGAUUUGGGGGUUGAGCUUUGAGCUUGGCGCCCGUAGCUAACGUGAUAAAUCGACCGCCUGGGGAGUACGGCCGCAAGGUURAAACUCAAAKGAAUUGACGGGGGCCCGCACAAGCGGUGGAGCAUGUGGUUUAAUUCGAYGCAACGCGAAGAACCUUACCUACUCUUGACAUCCAGA